CAGCCGCCGCGGUAAUACAGAGGGUGCGAGCGUUAAUCGGAUUUACUGGGCGUAAAGCGUGCGUAGGCGGCUUUUUAAGUCGGAUGUGAAAUCCCUGAGCUUAACUUAGGAAUUGCAUUCGAUACUGGGAAGCUAGAGUAUGGGAGAGGAUGGUAGAAUUCCAGGUGUAGCGGUGAAAUGCGUAGAGAUCUGGAGGAAUACCGAUGGCGAAGGCAGCCAUCUGGCCUAAUACUGACGCUGAGGUACGAAAGCAUGUGGAGCAAACAGGAUUAGAUACCCCCGUAGUCCCUGUCUCUUAUAC
rnacentral:rRNA from 1 species